UACGUAGGGUGCGAGCGUUGUCCGGAAUUAUUGGGCGUAAAGAGCUCGUAGGCGGUUUGUCACGUCUGCUGUGAAAUCCCGAGGCUCAACCUCGGGCCUGCAGUGGGUACGGGCAGACUGGAGUGCGGUAGGGGAGAAUGGAAUUCCUGGUGUAGCGGUGGAAUGCGCAGAUAUCAGGAGGAACACCGAUGGCGAAGGCAGUUCUCUGGGCCGUAACUGACGCUGAGGAACGAAAGCCAGGGGAGCGAACGGG
rnacentral:rRNA from 1 species